UGGUAAUUAGUUUAAGUUAAAACAAGUGAUUUCGACUCACUAGAUUAUGAACUACCAUAAUUACUAA
rnacentral:tRNA from 1 species